UACAGAGGUCUCAAGCGUUGUUCGGAUUCAUUGGGCGUAAAGGGUGCGUAGGCGGCGCGGUAAGUCGGGUGUGAAAUUUCGGAGCUUAACUCCGAAACUGCAUUCGAGUACUGCCGUGCUUGAGGACUGGAGAGGAGACUGGAAUUUACGGUGUAGCAGUGAAAUGCGUAGAGAUCGUAAGGAAGACCAGUCGGCGAAGGCGGG
rnacentral:rRNA from 1 species